rnacentral:tRNA from 1 species
UGCGGGAUAGCUCAGUCGGUAGAGAGAGUGUUUCAUACGCACUAUGUCGUCGGUUCGAGUCCGACUCCCGCUCCCA